CAGAGGUCCCGAGCGUUGUUCGGAUUCACUGGGCGUAAAGGGUGCGUAGGUGGUGAGGUAAGUCGGAUGUGAAAUCUCCGGGCUCAACCCGGAAAUGGCAUUGGAAACUACCUUGCUUGAGGUUUUGAGGGGGGACUGGAAUUCUCGGUGUAGCAGUGAAAUGCGUAGGUAUCGAGAGGAACACCGGUGGCGAAGGCGAGUCCCUGGAAAACACCUGACACUGAGGCACGAAAGCUAGGGGAGCAAACAGGAUUAGAUACCCUGGUAGUCCUAGCCCUAAACGGUGCUUGCUUGCUGUAAGAGGAAUCGACCCCUCUUGUGGCGGAGCUAACGCGUUAAGCAAGCCGCCUGGGAAGUACGGUCGCAAGAUUA
rnacentral:rRNA from 1 species